UUAGAAACAUUAAAUAUAAAUACGAUGUUUUAUUUAGUAAUGAUAUGUCGUACAGGAAAAGUUUUUUUCUUCACUCUCAAACACACAAUCAAACCUCAAAACAACUAAUGCGAAUAAUUAUAAUAAUAGUAGGCUAAUAGUAAUGAUAAUAAGCAACGAGAUGUAUUGUAAAAAUGUUUAGGGUUUGAAAAGUAAAAAAAAAAAAGAGUUUAUGUAUUUCUUGCAUGCCCGGAAGGCUGCCGUGACUGAAAGCUCGACGAAGGAGCGCCUGAAACCGGAGCGUCCACUGAGCGGCGCCGCAGCCCGCAACUUCCACGCGACAGCCAGCCGGCGUUUCCUCCCUGCAACACGCUGCAGGCCAAUCCGCUCACUCACUCCGUGUUGGGUUACAAUGACAAGGGCCCUGUCUGAACCACGACUUUUAGAAAGAUAAUAUUACAGGUAGGUGCAAGCCACGGACCGUGUCACUUUCGAUAGACAAAUUAAGCAUUGAAAAACAAGACCGUGACCCAGAAAUUCUCGCUUUAAUCGGGUCACCGUGCUUGUUUUCAGCUCUGAGUGAUAAUGGCACCUCUCACUGUCCUUAGCAUUUGAAGUCCCCUUACCGCAACCUGUAGCUUUUGGGGCAGUGAAAAUUGUCCAGCUGGACGCCUUGUAUUUUCCAAUAUUGAUGCCUUUGUAUGGUUUGAGCCAUGUACACCUGCCUGCUGAUAGCUUUCAACGUUUUUUUUUUUUUUUUUUUUAAAGCUAGUUGAAGGUCAGUUCUCCUCUCUAAUGAGCUGCUGUGAGGAUUUGUAUCAGCAGGGCUAAAACCAAGGAUGUAGAUAAUGUAUAUAGGCUACAGCUUUAAUUCACUUGUAACUCUAAUGUUGGUCAAAUGAAAGUGUAGGAUGCAUUUAAAACAAACAAGCAUGGAGUUAUUUUCUGCAUAUCUAAUCACUUGUGUUUUUAUUGGUGUGUUUUCCUUAGCAGCCUCACUAUAUGGCGGUCUUGGCAUAUCUUUUUAAACACUUAACUUUUAGUACAUAUAUGACCACAUCCUUCUAACCAUUUAGUAAACCCUACACCAUGCGGGAGGACUGUAGUGAGUCAAGUGAAGAGCUGCAGUAAAAGAAGGGUAAAUCUCCUUUCCUUUUGUUGCACAUGGGAGAAACAGCCUGAAAAGUCCAUGAAGGCUUAUCGGGUGUCGAAAGAAAUGCAGAAAUGCAAGCUGAAAUGUCUCUGAAAUAGGCCGAACAGAGUCUUUUGCUCCUACAGGGUUUUGUUCAGGGUUCCACUGAGAAAGCCCAAUGCAAAGUGGGCCUACAGCCAACUGGGAUGGAUUGUAGGGUGGAACCUUAACAGAUGGGAAAUAGGAUGAAGGUGAACACAAGGUCAAUCUGAGCUUCAGUGAUAAAGCUGUGGGCACCGCUCAUAGCAGUGUUUUAAAAGUUGACUUAAGAAAACAGAUUGUGUGGUCAGAAUAAACUCUUAAGACCAUAUUGGGCCAUUUUUUUUCUUUCCAGGCUUCUUUUGUCUAGAUUGCCACAGGCGGAAGCAGCAGACACCAAAUGGUCAAAAAAUUGUUAUCAUUAUGUUUGUCUGGAAAUCAGCAGAAUGGGGUUGUUGAUUUCCAGCGGGUGGGGUUUCCUUUGUCCCUAUUUUUUUUUUGUUCUAACCCAGAUUUUCAUGUUUAACAGGUCCACAGCUGAGCCGUCUCCCUGUACACAAUUGAGACGGAGGAGGUUAAAGCACUCUGAACGCAUGGGACAAUAUUGCAGGUGUUUGUGCCUCUGGCAGAGUCUUGAUCUUUUGUUCCUCCUGCACCUCCUCUGUACCACAAGAUGACCGGCACGCACACAAGCAUCACAGACGCUGAGUCCCCUAUCGGAGAGAAAAGAGCGAGCGGGUGAAUGAGUGAGGGGGAAAGAAAAGGUAAAGUUAUUUUAAAGGCUGAUAUUGCUUCAUUGUGUGCUGUCAUUCCAUCCUUGACAAAUGUUCCUCAUCUGAGUUGGUGUCAUGCUCCACUGUAUAAAUGGGUUAUGAGCUUGAAUAUAAGUUAUGUAAGUUGCAAUGCUUUGAGACAUCUGCUAAGCACAUUCAUAUGUAAUGGCACAUAAUGUAAUAAAAAUAAUGGAGGAAACAUAGAAGAUUUAUCUCCCAUUAUAAAGCAGCCAUGCUCUGCUUUAUUGCAACCUUCCACCUGCACCCUGAAACAGGUUUUGAAAUAGAGAGCUCUCCUUGGCUGCGAAAUUAUCAAACUCAACUUAUUCACACCAUGAAGGGUCUGCACACUUGUUACCCUUAAAAGCAUUUUAAAUAUUUUUUUCUUUAUGAUGGCUUUUAUGACUAGUGUUUGCAAAACAAAACAUUAAAAUAUGGUUUCUCCACAUCUAUAGACCAACUAUAAGUAAGUUAAAUAAGACUUGUGAAUUUUCUGCUUUUAAAUGUAGGAUUAAAUGGGUAACUGGGCAAGUUAUUAUUUUUAAAUGACAUGAUUAAUGCUGUCAGAAAUAGACAAAUAUUUUUAGAAUCAAUCAAAACAUCAAAAGGUAUGUAUCAAGUAGUCUAGUGUAAAAAUAUUCAGAUAUUGAGCCUGAAAUAUGAUCUGGUCUCUAUGAUGAGGGGAGUGAACUAGUAGAAGAUUGUUCCUUUAAUGAUUUGCACGGUGUGUAUCUUCAGGGGCUUUCUGUGCCACCAGCUGAGGCGUUAAUACAAAUAUAGCAGAUCAUUUGUGAACUAACCUGUUUUUAAGUGGCUUUCUCCAAAAGUGUGACAGGCAGGUGGGGAAACAUGGCAGAAGUAAUUAGAUAUUUGCUGUUAUUGAACCAUCCUGAGAAUUCAGAUUUUUCAGGUGACGCAACUUUUAAAAUCUGAAGAUUCUGAUGUUGGUUCAUCUAUCCAGCCAUCCAUUUGUGUCUUACAAUUGCUAUAAAAUUAAAACAACUCACUCUACAAAAAGAACAUCUCGUUAAAUAAUCUCAUUAGCUUUAGCUGCUUUCUUUUAAAAAAAAUAAAUAGUCGGGCAAUUGAUAAAGUCUAAGCUCCACCUUCGCCGCCUCUCCAUUUUGUAAUCACAGGCAGUUUGGCAGCACAACGUAAUUAGUUUGCACGCCAGAUUUCCCAUGAGUCCCAACCUAGCUCAAAGCCAAUCCCUUCCUCAUCAGCAGCCCAGAGACUAAACACCUACUUUAUCUGGUUCCCCCAAGGCUGUCCAUCCAUGGGGAGUCAGGGUGCCCUCAAAAACAUUGCCAAUGAGGGCUCCAAUGCCUCAGGCUGAUAUGGGUGAAACUUCAGAUGGCAGAUGGCAGAAGGAAGGAAAAGGACCAUAUCUUUGAGGUAGAACUGCCAAACAAAAGUGGAACAUCAUAUCCUAGAGCCUUACGUCCCAGGGCUGAGAUUAAAGCAUGAAAUAUAUGUUUAGAUGAGCCACAAAUGUCUUCAUAUCAAAAACUGUAAGUGAUCAAAGUGUCUGAUGUGUGGAGGCAUGCUGCAGGGUAUUUUUGUAUGUAUUCACCAGUUGACAGUAGCUGAGGAAAUGUUUCACAGCUUGUUCAAAUGUCAUCAUUGAUAAAGAGGACAGCUGAAGUUGAGUUUAAUUUAUUACAGCUGCUAUCUGUUGUAGAAUAAGGUAGUGCUACGGUGCAUGUGCUUUGCUUUAUAUCAUACGUGUAUCAGUAUCACACUAGAUCUCUACAUCUUAUAUUCGUUGUGACCGAGUGCUGUGUUUGAAAGAAAUGGUGAAGGACAGUAUUUAUUUUUUUCUCAAUCUUAUCCAGUUCACUCUUUUCAUUUUAAGUAUUUGUACACAUCUGAAUUACCUCUUGCCAGUCAACAGCAAGAAGUGAUCGGGCAGUUUUUAAUACCACUAGGCCCAUCUGGGAGAAGGACCCUUUUCAUUCGACAUACUUGGCUGCUUGUCGCCUCACCAUAAUGGGCACGUUGAACGAGCUCUGAAGCAAUAGCCAAUUAAAUGCCUUGAAGGGGAUGCCUCGAGGCCCUGCAUGAAAGGCUUCAGGUGUGAAAUGCUUGUUUUUCAAGAGUGCUGCAAAUGUUGGCUGCUUUCAAGUUUGCUAUUGCCCUGCUGGCUUCCCCUUCCAGCCCACCCCAGCAGCCCUUCUCAUGUGGAGGAGGGUAGAGGGUAGAGGUGAUGGGCAAGAGAAGACCACUUAAGUACAAUUUUCUAUUCAGUGUUCCAAACCUGUGCACUCUCGUGUUUUUCACCGCUGCCUCGUAACGGCGAACAGAGUUUCAGAUGAUGCAGACAAUAGCUUUUUAGCGUACAAUAGAGAGAAGAGGAGAAGCUGAAGGGCAGACAGGGGGAUAUGUGGAUGAGACAGAAAGUCUGUGCGUGAAUCCAAACCGGAGGCUGUGGUGAUUGGGUGAUGGCCGUGGUUUGCUGGGAGGAGGCUUAAAAGGAGAUGGAUUGUUUGCUAAUUGUGGUCAUUGCUGACCAGAACAUGACAGGUUCAAUGACUACUUUUAAUACGUUAUUGAAUACAACAGAACCUUGAAACGCAAUUGUGAGAAAAGCAAGAAUGUUAAUAGUUCAAGUGUAAGAACAGGCUGCCUUGUCUUUGUGCAAUAAAACAUCUAUGUCUGAAGUGUUAAAUCCAGUCUGGAUUGAAGUAUUUAUUUAAACCGCUAUAUUUCUACUCUCAAUUCUUACAACAUAGAAGUUGAGAAACAGUCUUAGAUCAUUGAGGAGUACCAUUAAAAGAUGCCUGUGCGGGACUAAGAGGGAAUAAAUCCAGGGGAUAUUAAUCUUAUUAGGAUCAUACAUCACUGUGGUGUUUGGUGAGGAGACAAAUGAAUAGGCGCCUGUUUAUCUGAGCUAAGCUAUGUGGUUUACCUAACCAUCACUCAGGGCACAUAUUGCCACUAAUAAAUUGGUUAAGUCUGAGCAGAGUGAUUGUAAUGAAGUUAAGGGACUGGCUUGUCCGAGCUCUCGCCACUACAGCCAGCUAUUCUCGCUUCCCUCUUUUUAUCUGUCCAGAUUGGGAGAGCCCUUUCGAUAAGAUGAAGAGAGGAGGAAUCAAAAUAAAUGGAGUCCAUUACAAGCAGCAAUGCAUCAACUGCUUGAUAAAGUGAUUAAUAAACAGGCUGGGAUUGUGAUUGAUUAAAGCAUUUAAUCAAACUGUUAAAAAGCCCUAUUGGCAAUGGUGCAUAAAUGCCCUGCACGGUUUAAAUGUAUAAAACGCUACAUAACCAUUGUUUUUUCUUUCAAAAAUAUUACAAACCUGUGUUUGUCUGAGGCAUACGAAACCAUGUUUUAUAUGGUUCAGAAAAGUACUCGCUUCUCUUUUUUUACACAAUUAAUGAUAAGUGUGCACUCAUAUGUAGAACAUUGUGUUUCUCGCAAAUCUUAGCCCAUUUUUUUUCAAAUUUAAACAAAAGAGCAGUGAUUGACUUAACAUGUACUCAUUAAAGAUGUUUUAAAAAGGGCUAGAUACGCUUGCAUUAGACCUCCAAACAGUGAGUAAUCAAUGACUAAAAUCACUUGCAAUUCCAAGGCAGUGGGUGAGUGGGCAGUGACAGGCUGGUAAUGUUUGUGAGACUGAAAUGUCAUUCAAAUUCGCUAAUGCAAAGGGAAAUACAUAGAGCAGAUUGACACGUCGAGCUUGGUAAAGUUCAACCUUGAUGUAUAGCGCAUUAAGAUAGGAAAUUACAGAUGUUGUAAUUAUCAGAAAUGACUGACCUUGUGCAAAAGAGUGCGAGGUUAAAGUACUUGUACUUUGCUUUUAAAAUGUGUAGCACAAGAAAAGAUUGGCGAGUAUCUGUAAAUGGCAGGCUUUUAUUGAAAUUCAUGGGGCAAAUGGGGAGAAAGCAAUGUUCAGAAUCAUUUUCACAUUCAGAAGAAAGGUAUAAUGAGCUGCAGAGUUGGAGAGAGGGUGCAUUUAGUUCUGCUUGUUAUUUUCAUAGUUGAAAAUGAUCAGUUUACAUUUACCACAUGAAUUCACAUGGGAGCAUUGUUUCACCAUAUGUCGAUAUAUAAAACACAGAUACAUAAAUGCACUAUGCCCCAUCUUUGAGGCAUGCCUGAGCUUUUCCAAUAAUAACCUACAAGUAUAACAGCCAGUGUGAAAGAGGUAAAAUACCAGAGUUGGCUACAGGAGUCUAUGGCAAGAGUUUGUUGCAGGGGAAAGUCUAGAGGCUAAAUCGCUGGUGGAAGUAAUGCACACACAAUUUCAGAGGUUUGAAUCCAGCUCACAACAGUCAUUGACUCUUUAUCAUGUCACUGUAAAAGUACCAGCAGUAGUAGAAAGUAAUAAGUACAUUUUUUCUGAUUUGUAACUACAUUUUGAGGUACUUGUAGUUUACUUCCAUAAUAGUAUUUCCAUUCUAUGCUAGUGUAUACAUCUACUCCACUACAUUUCAGAGGGAAAUAUUGUACUUAUGAUGUAUUACUUUACAUGAAACUACCCAACAAUCUAAGUUAUUUUUUUUAAUCGUUGUACUUCAUCCAGCUAAAAAAGCAUUAAAAUAGUUAUGUGUUAUUGCAUGAGCAACAACAAUCACAUUGUUUAAUAUUUAUAAAUAAAACAAUGCAGGGUUCAUUCUGUGUUCAUAAUGUUGUUUUUGAUAGCUCAAGUAUGUUUUGCUGACUUUCGUUUAAGUAACUUUUUUGAAUGUAGGACUUUUACAGUGUGAUAUUUCUACAGAAUGAAGGAUCUGAAUACCUCUUCCAACACUGAGUACCAGUAUAUCAAAUUGUCUUUGUCUGUACUGUACUAUGUUGAGCCAACAACUUCACUAAAGCAAGGACAGGGCCAGUUCUUCCAGUGGGCAUUUUGGAAGUCUACUGACUGCUACAGUAAAGCCAACGUUGUUAAACCUGCGUUCUCAUAUCUGUGUCAACCUGAAGCUAUAAAGGCAAACACCAGACAUGCAAGCGCCCACAAUGCAAUGUUUUGUGCAAAUGAUUGCAUGCGUUUCUUUAUCCUUUGCCUUGGGAAGAUCCAUUAGUAACAGUCUUUUGUGUUUUUAGAGUAAUAAUCAUUUGACACUACGUUGAAAUAACUAGAUACAGUAUGUGCUAUUUAAUCUGAAGUCUCUUUCAAAUGAAUAGGAGUCAAAUUAAUGACACAUGAAUGACUUGUUAAUUAUGCAAAUGGGGUGCCGCAGGAACCUGGUAAGUUGCGGGAACUCUGUCAUCUAAAAGGGUAUGGUGAGUGUGAUAGUGUAGCGGCUUGGCACAGCUCACUUGAUGUAAUGACAGGUCAAUUUGACUGGCUUUAUGCUCUGCACCCUGGUUCCUUUCUGGUCUGCUCUGGUGUGGCUGCCCCAGCCGCCUCCCCCACCCCCCUCUCUCGUGUCCCUUGGACUUUGAUUUCUCCUUUGUUCCAUUGGCUCCUCUACUGACACUUCCCAAGAAUAAGAGAUGCCACGCAACCAUGGCCCUUUCACACCAGACCGAUGACCUCUGUCUCUUCCAUGCAUGACCUCUCACCUAGAAGCUGACAGCUUGAUUAAUUGAAGAAUGUUAUGAUUUAUGAGUAUCUUCUCAGCAUGAUUAACAAGGCAACAGGUGGCACAACCAAACAGCUAGCAAGAACAUUACUUAGAGGGGAGAAAACAAUGGAGGAUUAUAUUUAGAAACCAUGUUUUGUCCAACAGUGACCGUCAAUUUGGUUAAGCCAUAUAUCAUUUUGACUUUUUUGUCUACCACUGCAGUUAGGAUAUCUUCACAUAGAGGUUUCUUUUGUGUCCAACUUGUCAGCCCAGUCAGACUUGCAGGAAGAUGUCACAUCACAACAAUGUGGUUAAGCAUAAAGCUCAUCCAGUGUUCCGAUUAUCAACUCACCAUGUAUUCAGUGCAAAGUUUGCAGUUGCAUAUGAAGAAGGGAAGUCUAAAAAUCCAGCAAAAGAAAGUAGGUUGUAUAAUGUUUAACACAAAGAAAUCAUUUUCAAGUUGACGUCUAUACUGUAUCUGCAUGGCUCUCUCUGCAUGUGAUUACUGCUGACUCUGUGUUAAUGCUUGAGUCUGCACAGCGAUGAGUGUCAUUUGGAGAGCAGCAUGUAAGAGGAAACGGUGUCAGUCGUGACACAGGGCCACAUCCAAUUGUCUACCCAAAGCUCUGCGAGUUAACUCACCUGACAGCUCCCUCGAUAAGUCUGUCUUGUAGUUGAGACACUUAACUGCGUAAUGGAAGUUGGUGGUCUAACUCAGGUGACAAGGGGAUGGGAGUGUUGAAGAGGUCACAUGAGACCUUCUCAUCGACUAAGUCAGUCACAGAGAAGGACUAUAGAGUGGGAUAGCAGUCUCUUGACACAGUGUCAUCAGCAGACUGUCCAACUGAGCAAAAGCGCAUGGUAAGAUGUGGCCUUUUCCUUUGACAUGGAUUUGUUUUGACCUCGGCUUCAGGCGGUGACAACUGAUGGGUGAUUGAUGGUGCUGUUUCAGCAGUGUCAGUGGAAAAGCCAGGCUCCUCGGAGAACAUUUCUCUGACCCACAGUGACCUGGCUCUAACUUGUGUUGGACAACAAAAGAUGGUCACCUACAGUUAGUGCCUGUCUUCUUUCCCUUGCCUGAUUGUUUUCCAAGAAAGUCUUUGGUUUUUUUUCAAAUAGCAAAAGCAGUGCAAACUGCAAUAGUGGCUGUUUUAUAUUUCCAGAUUAACUUUACUCUUUGCAGGCUUGUAUGGCUUUCAGUUUUGUUGUUGUCCUGCUUGUUGCAAGUCACUAACUAUUAUAGUAAGACUCGGAUACAUUUUACACUUGUAAUGCUCAAAAAAACCCUGCACCAUGUGAAGUUGCAGUGACUGAUAGCUACUGGGUAAAGACACGUUGGAGUGCUGUGUUUACAAAGAAUCGCCAUCAAUGAAAAAUUAAUUAUCUGUGAGUCAGCAAAGGUUAAUUCUGGUCAGAAACCUUUCGAUCCGGAGGAGCUGACCCCGGCAGUGCUGGUCGACGCACUUGUGCAUAGCUGAGGUGACACAUGCAGUGACCUGUGACAUGGGCAGUGACAGCAGAGUAAACUGGGCCAUGCUCCCCUGCCUCACUGUGCCUGGAGAGCUUAGAGGGCUCCCAGCUGAGCGGAGCAGGUUAAAGCGCAGCGCUGCUCCCGUGUCACCAGACCAGCCCGUGAUCAGUAGCUCCGUCUUCAGCAAACACUCCCCAGUCCUGCCACCCACCUCUGUUGUCUCCUAGAGACAGUGCUACCCACCGCUGGUUGCCCCAUAUGUUUGGGCUGCACACAAGGUGGUUUCUCGGAUACUGUGGUUGCUAAUUAUAAAUUUAAUUUGCAUUUUAAUUAGAAUGGUGGAAAAUUAAAGCCUGCCAGCUGGAGAAUUUCAAAACGCUUUCCCUCCCUCCUUUUUUGUCUCUCCCUCCUCUCUCCUAGUUUAAACUUAGCAUGACUCUGUCCUUUAUUUGUAUGAGAACAGCAGUAGGACCUCCUCGGUGUGGGACAGGGUGGUGUAUCUUCUGAAUCAUUCUUUCUUUAGAGUAGUGUUUGAUAAGUUUCUAUAUGUGUGGUGAAAAUUCCCAUGUUCAACCAUAUCUUUCCUAAUUAAAUCAUUUAUGGCUCAUUUGACACCUCCCAUAAUGUAGUUAAGCUCAUAAAACUCAUUGAUAUUUUAUGGGAAUCCUAAUAAGUCAUUGAAUGUCUUCUUCUUCUGUGGUUUGAUUAGUUAAACAAGGCCCAAUUCCCUGUCAUGGUGCUCAAUUGACACACUUUACACAUGCUGGGAAGUAAGUGAUCUGUAUGUGUGGGCUGGUAAUAUCAUUCAGUUUUGGUUAUUAUUUUCCAAUCUCCAUAAUUCGUCCCGUUCCCCAUGUUGUUCCCCCAUGGUCAUUCUCAUUCCCUCUAUUACCACCCACGGGCGUCCUUGCUCAAUAAUUGUCAUUAAUUGAUUGACAGCUCUGAUAGACCCAACUAACCCCAGUUCUGCUCUCAUGUCCAUGUUUUAAAUGAGAGCUUGUACAUCCAGUGACCUUGUCUGCCCAUCAACUGUCAGUGAAUGUGAAGCCAAUCCAGGGAAUGUCUCACCUUAGCAAAGUAGACCGUCCUAAAUGAUUGUAAUUGGUUUGUGGAUCUAUCUUGAGUUGUACUGUGUUGUGCAUGGUAAAAUCUGGUUAAAGUUUGGUUUAGUUUAAAGUGAAUGUGUUAUCUAAAGCAUGCAUUUGUCAUUACAAUCCCAGUUAUCCUUGUCCCUUUUAAUCUCAUUUCUAUCACACCAGGUUGUGUUUUCAUGUGCUUGAGCAAACCAAGACUGCCAUUCAAGUUAACAGAAUUCAAAGAUGUGCUUUUAAUCCUGGAAACCCAUCACAGCAAGACGUCAUCUUAUUGUGUAAUUUCUCUAAAUCCAUGUCAAAUUAUGUUAAUAAGAAUGUAGUUACUUUCAACUAAAAAAACAUAAGCCCUAUUUUUCUUUGACAGGAAUCCAAAAAAUAUCAAUGCGUUUAGUCAUGUGUUGACUGGAUAUUUUUUUUAUAUUUGGCUUUAAAAAUGUAAAGAGUUAAGCAUUUCCUAACACAAACAUUAACAGUUUUCUAGGACUCCGCUCCACCUUUUUGCGGCAGCUGAACUAUUGUUAAUAUAGGCUCUAUAAUAAUGUUUUCUCUACAAUAGUCCAUGCGUACACUGUGUCCUAGGCACAUGUAAUGUCUGACAUUCUUCCAGGUUGUUUUGGUUUGGGAGGCUGCCAGCCCCAGUUUUGCACCUCUUUGCAGGCCCAGUUUGAUGUGGUGUGAAUAACAUUCAGACAUACACACACGCCCUCAUUAGCAUUCAUUCAGGGAAGUAAUGCAGGACACCCUCUCUGCUCUGAGGGUGGCAUUUGGCAAGGGCCAAAUACACCUGGCAAAAAACCUCUAUCUUACUCCGUCCCAUCAUGUUCAUCACAUUGAGUUUUCCAUCAUGCACUCAAAAACAGUCCAGAACAUCUUUGUUUAAAGCGGAUUACUUGACAAUAGAGGAAACACAUCCAUUUAUAUCACGCUAUAGUAAGCUACGAUUGCUUCUUUAUACUGUCAAAUUGCAUAUAAAUGCCGUAGACAAUAGAAUUCAUAUCAAAGUCUUUGAUGUGAUGCAUUUGGGAAAAUCUGUGUAAAGCUGCAAUUAGACUACUGAUUAAUUUAAAAGAAUGAAAGCACAAGAGAACAGUCCAUUCAGUGACCCUCAGAAGUCUGGCAUGCAGCAGCUUCUCCCUCUAAGGCAUGGAUCCAUCAGCCUUAGUCUGGAGCAACAGUGGCUAUCUAAAAAAGGCUUGGCAGGAGGAGGAAGGCGGGCAUUCUCCAGAUCUGAAUCUGUGGACUGCUGUGUUUGUUACUCUGUAAAACAAUUUCUCUGUCUAGCCUUGUAAGACACAUCCAUUCUGCUACUUGAACUUUAGCGUUAUUGUUCAGAUAUGUUGUAGUAUCAUUGAUGGUAAAACUCCAUGUUGAUCUUUAGAUGAUGGAAGCUCUUCAAAGGUGCUUUCACUAGUUUGCUAAGUUUGGUAAGCAAGAGUAAGAAUAGAAGCUCUGGCAAUUAAAGUUUUAGAAAAAGUUGGUUAAAAAAACCCCGUUAUAAACGCGUAUAGAAAUCUAGUGAAUAAUAUUCCUUUUGCUGAAAAAAUUGUCUUGGCAGCUGGCUAUUCAAGACCCCUUUUAGAUUUAUCUUUGUCAAUUGUCAAAUAUUUGAGUGUAUGAAGUGGUGUGAUGAGGUGCAGAGACAGAUAUUUGAAGGGAUUUUAACUCAUUUGAGCAAUUACAUGCUUAACUGGCCCAAGAUAAUCUGUCAUCCAAAGCUUCUGUCUCGGGCUCUCCCUCUCUUUUCCAAUCCUCCACUCUCUCAUACCCUCCUACGUGGCACAAGAGAAGCUCAGAAUAGUGGGAUUUAGAGCACAAAAGCUUAUCCUGAAUGGAAUGAAGGCCUCGGAGAAAUUAAUUGCUUCUAACAAACAGCAUGACUGCUAGCAUGUUUUGUGUCCCAUUCUUAUCAGCCUCCAGAGGUAGAGGGGCGGGCGACCGGUCUGGAAAGGGUGAACCUACAAACGGGGGAAGUGGGUUACAGGAAUUUGUGUUUACAUUAUUUGAAUGUUAUUCAAGGAUGGAUGGCAGCAAAGGCUUAAUGCAGGGUAUUUGUAUAGGCAUGUGUCACGCGGAGCAUGUGAUCUCCCCAGUUGUUGCAUCUGAAUGAAGCAUUACAUUUGACAUCAGGAAAGCAAUACAGGU